CCGCGCGGGGCCGGGGGCCGCCCGCUCGCGGGGAAAGCGCAGCGCCCGCAGCGCGGGGGGCGGCGCGGGGCCGCUGCCGGGAGUUCCGCGGGAGCCCUCGGAAGGGCCCUCCCCCGCCGCCCCCCUCCAAAAAAGAAAAAAAAAAAAAAAAAAAAAAAAAAAAAAAGGGGGAAAAAAAAAAAAAAAAAAAAAAAAAAAAAAGCCUCCCAAAGUGCUACUGGCGGUGCGGCGAGUGCCGGCGCGGCCAUGGGGUGGCAGCAGCAGCCCCUCCUUCCCGGCUCGCAGCGGAGCGCAUUCAAUCCAACGCGGCGCUCGUGUAGAAGCACUGGGAUCGUUCGUGCACUGCAGUUUCUCUCGCCUCUCUCCCUCUCUUCCUUCUCCGCUCCUUAGGAUAUUUUGGGUGGAUUGUGGUUACCCAUCGGGAUCUCCUGCUCGCUGCUGAUCACUUGGCAUCUCCACAGGGGAUUGGGAUCGUUCGGGGCAAGCGGACAACCGAUUUUUUUUCCCUUUCUUCUUUUCCCUCUGGAGAUUUUUCUUUUCCCUCCACUCCCCCUCCCCCGUUGGCACGGCGGUAAGGAGCCGGGAAGCACCCUCCCCCGGCGUGCCCCGCAGCAGGAAGCCCCGCCGGGCCGCCGCUCCCGGUGCUCGGUGCGCGUAGCCCGGCCCCGGCCCUCGGACGCGGCGCUGCCCCCAGGCCGGCCGCCCCUCCUCCCCCCGCCGCACCUGGAUGGUACCUCCCGCCGGCGGCGCGGGCACUUUGUGAAGUGGGAAGGAAGGGGCGACUCGGGGGGGCGGGAGGGGGGCGCCGGAGUCUGUAUGGAAUUACCUGCGCCCGCGGCGGAGCUGGCGGCGGCGGAUGGCCGGGCGCCGCGUCCCCGGCACUCGUGGCGAGCGCAGCCCCGGGACUGAACGCGGAGCUUCUCCGGCCGGGAGCGCAGCGUGGUGACCGGAUCGCACCGGAGGGACAGCGCGGAGGACUCCUGCGGGUAGGAUGGUAUAUUGCCCAUAGUUCUUUACUAAACUGGACAGUACAAAGCAGAACUAAAGGAUACUUCUGUCAUGAUUGGGCAAGAAGAUAUUGUUUAAGACACAGUGGCCGCCUUCUGUCUCUAAGAGGUAGGUGUAGCUCAUAGCUGGAACACGUGCUGUUCAAAGAACACGAGUAUCUCAGGACGCAUCACAGUUGUGUAGGCAGAGACAAUUUUGACUGAUAGAGCCAACCUUGAUGAGUUAUGUGGGACUGAAGAGGACGCCCUGCUGACCUGUAUCCCACAAGGCACUGUGAGACCACUGGAAAGCCACUGUAUUGCUCUCCUGAAGUUGUUCUUUCUUUUCUCAACAGUAGUUUCCCAACGUACAUAACAGAUAGCUUUCAGCUGACUGUUUUAAUUUAUGGAAAUCAAAUCAAUUGUUUAUUCAAUAGCGGAUGCUCAAGGAUAUGGUGUAUGACAUUUCAGUUAUCUGUAAUCUGCUACCAUUUGCUUCUUUCUUAAUAGAAAAAGUAAUAUCCAGAAAUCUUGACCACUGCCUACCGCACAGAAAGUCAUUUAAUAAUAUCAUUGGGAACACAUUAAGCAAUGCAAAUGGUGUGCAAUAUUUGUUUGCUAGUCCAUCACCUUAAGUGCAAAUGCUACACUGACGUUGUUUUACUCAAAAAUGGAAAACAAAUACUAGGCCAGACAAUUGUCUAGUUCUGACAGUAGGUUUCUUCCUUAUAGAAUCCUUUUUUAACUACUUUAUAUGUUUAAG
ensembl:lncRNA